CGUGUUUCUCUCUUUUUCACGCGUUUCUCAAUUUUCUCUGUUUUCUCUCUCCGAGCUUCACCUUCACCUUCAUCGUGCCUCUCUCCUUCUGCGGUGGUGCUUCUCCCUCCUCGCCGUCUCCGUCGCCGCCGUUUUCUGUCUCCCCUCUCCGUGACAGUUUUCUCUCUCCUCGCCGAAGUUUUCAUCACACGCGACCCUCACUAGCUCAGCAAGCAAGCAUGUAAACAAGUCUUCAUGGGACACUUUGACAGCUCCUUCUCCCACGGUAUCUCAAAGUGUUUGGAUAAAGCCAAGCAAGCAUGUUAACAGAUCACCUGCAGAUUUGUGUAGUUUAAGAAAGUAACAUCAGGCAUAAGAUGUAAUCUUCGUAUUUUUACUUACACUAAUGUAUAUUUUUAUAGUUUAGAGUAUCUUCAUAUUAUUUACAUUUAGACUUCACCAUCAUACUUGAAACUUACCUAAGGCACUUAAUACUUUUAACAUUAAUCAAUUUGCUCUCUAUUUUCUUUUUUAAGUGCUUGGAUACCAAUAAUAAAUAACACUUUUUCAGCCUCUAAAUUUAGCAUUCAAAACUAACGAAUAGUAAAUACAAAGUUGUUACUAAUAAAUACCACUUUCUCAUGGUUUCAUAGUUUA